UACGUAGGGCGCAAGCGUUGUCCGGAAUUAUUGGGCGUAAAGAGCUCGUAGGCGGCCAGUUGCGUCUGCUGUGAAAUCCCGGGGCUCAACCCCGGGCGUGCAGUGGAUACGGGCUGGCUAGAGGCAGGCAGGGGAGAACGGAAUUCCCGGUGUAGCGGUGAAAUGCGCAGAUAUCGGGAGGAACACCGGUGGCGAAGGCGGUUCUCUGGGCCGAUACUGACGCUGAGGAGCGAAAGCGUGGGUAGCAAACAGG
rnacentral:rRNA from 1 species